rnacentral:lncRNA from 1 species
CUCCUGUGACUGCGGGAGCCUUUGCCUUGCCCGCCAAGCUGUCUUGGGCUCUUGGUUCCUCAGUCUCUGGAAAACUGAAAGGCGCCUGGGGUGGGCUCCAAGGCUCCUGGCUGGCCGGGCGAGCUCAGGGCUUGGAACCCGAGCCUGGUGAGGGUGGCCCCGAAACGCUUUGCCCCCACCCAGCCCCCACCCGCUGGCCGGCCUCGCUCUAUCCCGGGGGAGUUUCCUGUCCCCUCACCGCAUUUUCCAUGACGCAAGAGGAAGUCAGCUGCCCAGCCUGGGUUUUCCACGCAGCCUGGGCAGAGGAGGGGUGGAGUGAGCCCCUGGGCGGGAGUCAGAACUCAGGGCCUUCCAGGGACAGACAGAUACUGCAGCCGCCCUGGGCCACACCAGGGCAAAGGGACCCCAGGGAUCUGGGCGGGGAAGAGCUGAGGGUCGGAGGCCGUGAGUGAGGAGAGGAAGCUCACUGAGCAGUCCGUCCCCCCUGAGUGGAUGAGGAGUGAGUGAAUCUGCGGUUCCCAAAGGCACAGGACGGCCUGGUGGUCGAGCGGGCAGGAGGGGCCUCUUCCAGUCUGUUAGUGACGGAGCCCUUGAACCCCUGUGCUUCACAGCCCAGCAGUGGCUUCCAGCCCACGGCCCAGAAAGGGCCCAGCUCUGUCCCUCCAGCUGGACCCUGAGCUUCGAGACGUUUCCAUGGCAAUGGAUGGAGGCCUUGGAAGCCGGUGCCCCAGCGAGAGGCAGAUGGGCUCAGGCUGGGCAGGUGCAGCCUAGGGCCUCUCAGCCCCUCGGCUGUGGCUCAGCUUUCUGUGCUCGCCGUGCUGGACGCAGGUGCACAGCGGUGUGGGACAGGCGCGAACCCACCCACUUUCCAGCUCGGCAGCCACGCGGCCCAGCUCCAAAGGCUGACGGCAGAGGCCACGCACGGGCUGAAGCUCGCGCUGUGCUCGGAGCUCUCGGUGCCUGGGGAGACAGCAGGAGGGGAAGCCAACCCAGCUCACGCUGGACCCCCAGCCGGCCGGGACAAGGGGAGCGACUCGGGGUGACUGGGGUGACCUGCACCCCGAAAUCUCACCGCCGUAAGAUGGAGUUGGGAGUGGAACCGUGCACGCAGCCUGUGCACCCGCAGAAGGGGUUUCGGGAGUUCCCCAAAGACAACAGCAGGUUGAUGGCAGCGGGGAGCGGCACAGAGAUUCUGGGCUUUGUCUUCAUCCAUGCACCUCUGCAUUGUGUGAUGUGUUAAGGAAGGGACAUUGUGAUCCAAGGCCUUGGUCUCACACAGCCUGAAAGAGGGCUGGGCUGGGCCUGGAGGCGGGAGCCCUUGUGCAUGCGCAAGGCCAGGGCUCAGGCCCUGCUCCACCCCCAAGCCAUGAAAGGGGUCGGCGGAAGAUCCUUUGUAUUUUUGUAUAAUGAUGUAUAACAUGUAUUUUUAUAAUGUGAUUUUUUUCUUAAUAAUAAAAACAAUAAAUGUUUAUUGAGAAAAAUCAAUAAAAAUAGCCGAGUAUAAAGAAAAAAAGUC